GUAGGCCUAUUACCACCCCUCUAUAGGUAGGCCUAUUACCACCCCUCUAUAGGUAGGCCUAUUACCACCCCUCUAUAGGUAGGCCUAUUACCAUCUCCUGCUGUGGUUGUGUAGCUGUUCUAAAUAUAUGAUGCAUUAUAUAAUAUCCAACAUCGGCCUCAUCUUAUAUAGUCCUAUCACCAUUUGUGUUCACAGAUA